rnacentral:lncRNA from 1 species
ACGGGCGCUGAUACCGAUUUACACCACUCUGUAACACAAUGGCGCCAGCAACACCGGAACACUGACAACACCACUAAACGCUGGGUGUCGCAAAGAACCAGCAAAGAACACACAAAAGAGAAAUGUCAAUUUGCUAUUUUGCUUUGAAUUUGCUGAUGACUCAGAUUGAUCUAAGCGAAUUCAUACAGCAAUAUUGGAAGAAAUUUCCUUGAAUCAUUUAUUUGCUGGAUCAACGCAGCUACUAAUCGCAGCGACUGAUAUCCCGAUGUGAAAGAAAAUGUAAAAAUACGAGUUUUCGCGAAAGGUAACAGCACGCAUGACGAUAUGUUACAAUAUCUCCAGUGUUAGACGAGGUGUUACCAAUUAGUUGGUUUACUGCCCAAAUCUGAUCUACACUUUAUUAUAUAAACGAAUUGCACCACGCACUUUGGACUCAGAAACGUGAACCGAAGAACAUCAGCCAAAUUUGAUAAUCAAUUGCUAUACGGCAUAUAAAAUCGCAUUUGGCAUUCGCAUUUGAACGCACAUUGACAAGGUAUUGCGUGAGGCAUAUUGUGUCUUGUAACCAGGUGGACGCUUUAUGGUUUGGACUCACGUCAUCUAAUCAAUGACACACUACAAUGGCUUUACGAUCAGUACUCGUUUAAAGUGAUACCGCCAAUGGGCCAGAUUUUAGCGAGUCAAUUGCAGCCCUAUCAGUAUCCGGUAGAUAAUUUGGAAAUUUCGAAGCAAAUGAUUGAAGAUGAAUCUAGCAUUCAGAGUUGGGAGCAUAUUCAGGUUUUAACCUAUAAAUUUUUAUAUUUUAUGCACAUGCCAAGGCGUAAAUAAGUUAAAUAGCAUAAUAUUUAGCAAAUUUAUAUAAUAAAUGGCGUUUUUUUAAUAUACAGGUAUAUUUUCGAUUUCAUAAUAGUAACGGGCCUAAGAGACGUGGGUCCACCAUGUUGCAACUUUCCCACGUAUUUUAUUUUAUAUAAAAUAGCUAUAAAACAAAUACAUUUGUGAUUCGCACACCAAAUCGUCAGUACAUUUAGAAGCGAGGAAAUUUUAAAGCAGUGAGCAUUCCAGUUGGAAUUUUUAUUAAAACCCUUAUAGUUCAUUUACUUUAAUAGUGUCUUAAUCCAAAAAAUACAAAUAUUGAGCUAAAUAUGUAUUCCCGCUACUUCUACUUCUAUGUUGUGCAAAAAUUUCAUAGCUGUAUCGAUUACCAGUAUCUCAUUAGAACAAAAUAUUAUUCAGCCCUAUCUCCAACUCCAUGUGAAUAAAUCGUUUCCAUAAUUUAACAGGAAAAACAAAAACAAAUUGGAAAAAA